CAAUCUGAAAAUAAAUAGAACAAUUCAGAAUCAUUGUUCCAGUCUAAACACAGCCAGCAAGUAUAAUAUGGGUAUAUAACAAUAGCACAUGCUACAAAGAAAGUUUUUUCAUUAAGUUUGUCAAUGAAAAGUAAAUUGCAGCUGUCACAUUUGAAACUAAAGCGCCCGCGAUGGAGCUAUACGUUGCCAAACCUGGCAAUCAAAGUGAGUCUUUUUCACUGACAUGAAUAUCUGAAUAUCAUGGAAUGGACUGAUUACAUGGUAGUUACUAUCGUGGCAUCACGAUUGGGAGGAGCGAUGACUAACGUUGGAUCUGUGCAUGACCAGUUUUUUUGUUGCACCAGUACUGACUCUAAAUUUGCAAAUUGGUUGUUUUAGGCCAAUUGAUGCAAAACAUUGUUAGUGUACCCAUAACUGGUGAUUUUAUAAGGGACAUGUUGAUGUAGAAGUAGAAUUGAGGGGGAAGCUUUUUUCAGAGGCAGUAUGCGGACCUAGUGGAAAUUCAGAAACAUUCAGAGUUCAGAAUCUUGACACAUAUCAAGACCAUGCUAGCAGACUAUUAGAGGCAGUAUGAAAGUAUUAAUUGUUUCAUCUA